GUAAAAAUCACAAACAAAGAGAUAGAGAUAGAGAGAUGUCUGAAUUUUGUCCAGAUGUUGGUAAGAGCUCGUGGCCAGAGCUCGUGGGGGUGACUGGAGACAGCGCUGUGGCUACUAUCGAAAAGGAAAACCCUUCGGUUGAUGCAGUUGUAAUCACACCGGACGAUUCGUACCCUCUGGCUAUCUUUUGCGAUCGAGUUUUGGUGUUUGUGGACUCUAAUGGAAUAGUUGAGAAGGUUCCUACUGUUGGUUAGACUCCAACAAAUUAGUGACCAUAUUAUUCCAUUUCUAUAAUUCCAUGCACAACUUGUCAUAAUAAAUAGCUAAAUAAUUAUAUGUACAAUGCAUACUUAAACUCUCUAUUUCCUAUGCAUUAAAUGUUAUGCGUACCAUGUAUUAUGUGAGAAAUAAACAUAUAUGAAGAAGAUAUUUCCUUAUUUUA